UCGCCUGUUUAUCAAAAACAUAGCUAUUAGAAAGGUAUAUAGUUUCUUCUGCUCAAUGAGUUUUAAAUAGCCGCAGUACCCUGACUGUGCAAAGGUAGCAUAAUCAAUUGGCUUAUAAUUGAAGUCUUGUAUGAAAGAAUGUAUGUGGGGUAGCUGUACUAUAUAUAAUGAAUUUACUUAGAAGUGAAAAUUCUUGUUAUUUAAUAAUAGACGAGAAGACCCUAGAUAAUACGUUUUUGUUGGGGCAACGUAACAUGAAUUACAUUAACAUGAAAUAAAUAUAAAUUACUCUAGGGAUAACAGCGUAAUGUAUAAACGAUUGCGACCUCGAUGUUGGACUAGGAAGCAAGAGC
rnacentral:rRNA from 1 species